AGAUUAUUAAGAUGUUAAGGUCAGGCACAGUGGCUCACGCUUGUAAUCCCAGCACUUUGGGAGGCCAAGGCAGGCGGAUCAUUUGAGGCCAGGAGUUAAAAGACCAGCCUGGCCAACAUGGCAAAACCCCUUCUCUAUUUGCAAAUUGCCCAGUUUCGAGUAUGUCUUUAUCAGCAGCGUGAAAACAGACUAACACACUUGUUUAUUGUUGUUGACUACCCAAUCACCAGAAAAACCUGUUAGUCAAUCAAAACUGGGUUUAUGAGAUUUCCUGCAAUAAAGAAGCAGACCACUUUGACAGAAUCUUAGUAGUGUUUCAAAAUGAGAAGUUAGAGCAGAGUCUUUGUGGGGAUUUAAGGCUUC
rnacentral:lncRNA from 1 species